rnacentral:misc_RNA from 1 species
GAUGAAGAACGCAGCGAAAUGCGAUAAGUAAUGUGAAUUGCAGAAUUCAGUGAAUCAUCGAAUCUUUGAACGCACAUUGCGCCCGCCAGUAUUCUGGCGGGCAUGCCUGUUCGAGCGUCAUUUCAACCAUCAAGCCCCCCCGGCAUGUGUUGGGGACCUGCGGCUGCCGCAGGCCCUGAAAAGCAGUGGCGGGCUCGCUGUCACACCGAGCGUAGUAGAUCUCAUCUCGCUCAGGGCGUGCUGCGGGUUCCGGCCGUUAAACCACCUUCAUAACCCAAGGUUGACCUCGGAUCAGGUAGGAAGACCCGCUGAACUUAAGCAUAUCAAUAAGCGGAGGA